AGGUGUUAGAAAAUGAGCAACUUAAUUAUACACAACAAUGGGCAGCACCUCGAUCGGUUAGAGCUCAUGAUCUUAUAUGCACAACAUGUUGGACCCAAGCCCAAGAUACAACACAAAUGCAUCUACUUCAAAUCUUAGCAGAAAAUGUGUGCUUUGCAGUAGAACACUAGAGCCUAGAACACGUUCACAUCAGCUCAUGUCCCUGAGAACUAACACUCAACAUCAUAUUAACAUCAGGAACAUAAUUGUGGAACGACUAACUCCAUUAGAGGUUACUGCAAAUGACUACAUCUGUGGGGCUUGUCACUCAUUAUUGCAAAGAGAUACCACACCUACUUCACAAGACUCUCCAGAUAUGCCAACCGGUGCCCCGGUAGGUCACCAACAAGUUUGUGUUGGAUGUGGUUGUUCAUUAUUGCGAACUUGAAGUCAUUGUUUGGAUACAGAGAAUAAUCAAGAUAUAUUAAACAUUGUUCGAAAUUGGAUUCAACCCAGAGAGAUUCGUCCUUCAGAUCUUCUUUGCCAUAGAUACUAUCAGAGAGCACGAAUUACUACAGUUGGUGCUUAUUUAAUGAAGCUGAGGACCGGUGAUUCAGAUGACAGAAUAGCUACAUUACUUGGCAUUUCAAGGAGUACUCUUACAAAAUAUGUAAUGAAAGCACGCAGUAUGAUGGAGGAACAUUUCGUACCAGCACAUUUAGGGUUACAACAUAUUAGUAGAGAGGAAGUAGCCCAAAGAAACCUUUAUGUUCCAGUCUCUUUUCGGGAAGCCAGGAAACGAUUUACCACAAAGAAAGGCUAUUGUCAUCAUGGAUGGUACAUACAUACAUUUAUGUGCAAAAAAGUAGCAAUUAUGCAUACCAAAAAAAAAACUUAUUCCCACAAAUAUCGGAAUCUCGUUAAACCAUUUAUGGUACUUUGUUGUGAUGGCGACAUCAUUGAUGUAUUGGGCCCAUAUUUAAUAGAAAAUGUAGAACAUGACC